rnacentral:rRNA from 1 species
AUGAGCGGCGACGGCGGCGGCAUGGUGGCGCCGUUCGUGGCCAAGACGUACGCGAUGGUGGAGGACCCGGCGACCGACGCCGUGGUCGCCUGGGGGCCGGCCAGCAACAGCUUCCUCGUCGCCGACCCCUUCGCCUUCUCGGAGAUGCUGCUGCCCGCGCACUUCAAGCACUCCAACUUCUCCAGCUUCGUCAGCCAGCUCAACACCUACGGCUUCCGCAAGGUCGACCCCGACCGCUGGGAGUUCGCGCACGCCUCCUUCCUCCGCGGCCAGACGCACCUCCUGCGCCGCAUCGUCCGGCGCCAGAACGGCGGCAAGCGCGGCGGCAAGGACGGCAGGAACGGCAAGGAGGAGGACGAUGAGGAGAGCAGCAGCACGAUGCUAGCGAUGGAGGUGGUCCGGCUGAGGAACGAGCAGAGGGCCACCGAGGAGCGCGUGGCGGAGAUGUGGCGCCGGGUGCAGGACGCCGAGCGCCGGCCCAAGCAGAUGCUGGCCUUCCUCCUCAAGGUCGUCGGAGACCCCGACGUGCUGCACCGCCUCGUAGGAAAUUCGAGUAGAGACGGCGGAUUAUUCCCGGGCGAGGGCGCGGAGGUCCAGAGGCCGCGGCUGCUUCUUAAGAGGGAAGUCCAGGUGGGCGAGCAGAUGCACGUCGACGGCGAAUGGCAGUUGUACGGCAUCAGCCGGCAGGAGUUCUUCAUUCGGGAAUCCCCGGUGGACUUCGCUGGGUUCUGCACCGGAGGCGACGGGUUCAGCGAUGUGCCGACGGACGACCCGCCGUACGCUUUCACCGUGGACGGCAGCUACUGA